AUACGGAGGGUGCGAGCGUUAUCCGGAUUUAUUGGGUUUAAAGGGUCCGUAGGCGGACUCGUAAGUCAGUGGUGAAAUCUCACAGCUUAACUGUGAAACUGCCGUUGAUACUGCGGGUCUUGAGUAAGGUAGAAGUGGCUGGAAUAAGUAGUGUAGCGGUGAAAUGCAUAGAUAUUACUUAGAACACCAAUUGCGAAGGCAGGUCACUAUGUCUUAACUGACGCUGAUGGACGAAAGCGUGGGGAGCGAACAGGAUUAGAUACCCUGGUAGUCCACGCCGUAAACGAUGCUAACUCGUUUUUGGGGCUUUGGCUUCAGAGACUAAGCGAAAGUGAUAAGUUAGCCACCUGGGGAGUACGUUCGCAAGAAUGAA
rnacentral:rRNA from 1 species